UUAGUAAUAAGUUAAGCUUUAAACUGUGUGGUUCAUGCCCAAAUAAUGAAAAUAAAAUUUUCUUGCUAAU
rnacentral:tRNA from 1 species